rnacentral:tmRNA from 1 species
GGGGGCGCACUGGUUUCGACGGGGAUUGUUGAAGCCAAGGCUGCAAGUCGAGGUUGGUCGAUGGCCUCGUAAAAAUCGACCAAAAGAUAAUUGCAAACGACAAUUACGAUUACGCAAUGGCUGCUUAAUUGCAGAAUUGCACCUGACAGCUUAGCAUGUCACGAUUCCCCUGCUGACGCCUUAUAGGUGGAAGGAAUCGUCAAAUCAUAGGGCUAGUGUAUUGGGUUUGCCCUUCGCUCAAUACAUGAAACUAAAGAAGCGCUAGCCCAAUGGCCGUCUGGCCCGGAGCAAUCCAUUGGGUUAAAUUUAAUUCCGGACCUACGCUUGUAGACGCUUUGAGCUGAUCAUUCUCGGACGCGGGUUCGAUUCCCGCCGCCUCCACC